rnacentral:rRNA from 1 species
ACGCUGGCGGCAUGCUUUACACAUGCAAGUCGGACGGCAGCACAGAGAAGCUUGCUUCUUGGGUGGCGAGUGGCGAACGGGUGAGUAAUACAUCGGAACGUACCGAGUAAUGGGGGAUAACUAAUCGAAAGAUUAGCUAAUACCGCAUAUUCUCUGAGGAGGAAAGCAGGGGACCUUCGGGCCUUGCGUUAUUCGAGCGGCCGAUAUCUGAUUAGCUAGUUGGUGGGGUAAAGGCCUACCAAGGCGACGAUCAGUAGCGGGUCUGAGAGGAUGAUCCGCCACACUGGGACUGAGACACGGCCCAGACUCCUACGGGAGGCAGCAGUGGGGAAUUUUGGACAAUGGGCGCAAGCCUGAUCCAGCCAUGCCGCGUGUCUGAAGAAGGCCUUCGGGUUGUAAAGGACUUUUGUCAGGGAAGAAAAGGCUGUUGCUAAUAUCGACAGCUGAUGACGGUACCUGAAGAAUAAGCACCGGCUAACUACGUGCCAGCAGCCGCGGUAAUACGUAGGGUGCGAGCGUUAAUCGGAAUUACUGGGCGUAAAGCGAGCGCAGACGGUUACUUAAGCAGGAUGUGAAAUCCCCGGGCUCAACCUGGGAACUGCGUUCUGAACUGGGUGACUAGAGUGUGUCAGAGGGAGGUAGAAUUCCACGUGUAGCAGUGAAAUGCGUAGAGAUGUGGAGGAAUACCGAUGGUGAAGGCAGCCUCCUGGGAUAACACUGACGUUCAUGCUCGAAAGCGUGGGUAGCAAACAGGAUUAGAUACCCUGGUAGUCCACGCCCUAAACGAUGUCAAUUAGCUGUUGGGCAACUUGAUUGCUUAGUAGCGUAGCUAACGCGUGAAAUUGACCGCCUGGGGAGUACGGUCGCAAGAUUAAAACUCAAAGGAAUUGACGGGGACCCGCACAAGCG